GCACAGCGCGUCAGAGCCCAGCCCUGCGAUCUGAAUUCUGACGGGCUGAAGGCUCUACGGGAAUAGCCAGUAAUUUUUCUCCCGCGGGGGUUAAAAAGCCAGCCCAGGGGGGAAACGUUUUACACGACGAGAUUAUUACUCACCAAAUUACGCUGCUACUGGCCUACUGCCUGCUGCUGCUACCAACACCACCACCUUUACUCCUGCUAAAACUAUGUGGAGUAAUUUGCUGACAGCGGAGAACGGGUCAGGAGAAGGUUAGUGCUACAGGAAGAUGAAGCACUCCAUGGCCACCAAAGGGUUGUCCAGCGACUCCUUCCCCUCACCGUCGCCGGCAACCGCGGUGGUCGUGGACCCGGCAUUCUCCUCUGGUUGCACCGGCGGCGGAGAUGCACUAUCCUCAGGCUCGCGUGGCUGCGCCGGCUCGGGAGGCGCCUGCUGCCCACGCCGCGGCGACGCGCGGCCACAGGGCCUGGUGGGGACAGGCGGCUUACGCUGUGUCGCAGUCGCAGAGGCGGCGCCCGCGCGGCGCUGCUCCUGCGUCCGCUUCGCCGCGGGCGACGGAGACCUCCGCGCCGCCCGUUCCCCGGCAUCGCGCCGCCGCUGCUGCAGCGGCGGCGGCGGCGAGGGGGACGCGCGGCCGCCGCGUGGUGGGCGCCCGCCGCCGGCGCCUCGGUCCCGCCUGGCGCCGCGCGCGGCCUCGGCUGCCGCCCGCCUCCUGGACGCCUUCGCCGGGGACCGUUCGGGGCCCGCCGCGGUGGUCGCGGCCGAGGACUCGGACGCCACCUCCGACUUCUCGUCGCCCGACGGCCCGGAACGCGCCGGACCCACCGCCCGACGCGCCCUGCCGCCGCCGCCACCACCACCACAAUCCUUCGCCCUAGCAGUGCCAAGCUUCGCAUUGGCCCCCAUCUCCCCUGCUUCUUUCCCCGCCGACGCAGCCACGCGCCUCGGACUGGGCCUCGGCUUGGCCUUCGGGGUCUCCGAGAGGACCUCCUUCACCGUCUCCUCCUCCGGCGGGGGCGGCGGCGGGUCGCGCGCCUCCGACCGACGCCGGGAAACUUCCCCAGCCGCCGUGCCCGGCGGCUCGUCGCACUUCUUGCUGAUGCAGCAACCCAUUGCCUCCCGACUGCUUCUUGCUUCUUGCUUCUUGCUGAGGCUAUACGGACAUUUCCCGCGAUCUGGUGGUGCUGGGAGAAAAAAAGUGGAGACUGGAC
rnacentral:misc_RNA from 1 species